rnacentral:tRNA from 11 species
GCCUUGGUAGCUCAGUCGGUAGAGCAGAGGACUGAAAAUCCUCGUGUCGGCGGUUCGAUUCCGUCCUAAGGCACCA